CAGAGAUAGAGACAGCCAGCAAGAGAGGGAACACAAGCAGGGGGAGUGGGAGAGGAAGAAGCAGGCUCAUAGUGGAGGAGCCUGACAUGGGGCUCGAUCCUGCAACGUCAGGAUCACGCCCUGAGCCGAAGGCAGAUGCUUAACCGCUGUGCCACCCAGGCGCCCCGCAACGAGUCCAAACUCUUAUCUUGGCACGAGGAAUCCCAAAUGGCCAAAGGGCAAGUCUCGGCUUCCGAAUGAAUGGACCCAUGAUGGUGUUUCCUGGUCUAAACAUUUCUCCCUUGGGCACUAGACCUCUGGACCCACUGAGCCCAGAUCACUGGCAAGGAAAGCAAAAAGUUCUUCCAGUUUGCUGCCAGGCAACAGGCGUCCUGAUGUGCACCACUAAAUCUAGGCCACAGUGGGAAAGGGAAAGACGUCAGCAUCACCAUUGCUGGAUGUGUAGAUCUGGGCAGGUGUACCGAUACCCACCAUCUGAUCUACAAACGUGGUGAGGUCCACAAAAGAACCACUGAAAAAUUUGAGAAGGAGGCUGCUGAGAUGGGAAAGGGGUCCUUCAAUUGUGCCUGGGUCGUGGGUAAACUGGAAGCCGAUGUGAGAGUCGUAUCGCCAUUGAUGUAUCUCCCUGUGGAAAUUUGAGAACAGCAAGUGUUAUGUUACCAUCACUAAUGCCCCAGGACAUAGAGACUUUAUCAAAAAACACAAUCACAGACAUAGCUCAUGGGCUGACUCCACUGCCCUGACUACUGCUGCUGGGGUUGGUGAAUUUGCACCAGGUACUUCCAAGAAUGGGCAGACCCGUGCCCAUGUCUUCUGGAUUAUACGUGGGGUGCAAAACAACUAAUUGUCAGUGUUAAGAAAGUGGAUUCUACUGGAUCCUCCCUACAGCCAGAAGAGAUAUGAGGAAGGCGUUACGGAAAUCUGCACCUACAUCAGGAAAAUUGGUUACAACCCUAACACAGUGGCAUUUGUGCCAAUUUCUGGUUGGAAUGAUGACAUCACGCUUGAGCCAAGUGCUAUCGUGUGUUGGUUGGAGGGAUGGAAACUCACCUGCAAAAAGGCAAUGCCUGUGGAAUCACGCGGCUUGAAGCUCCAGACUGCAUCGUGUCCCCAACUCAUCCAACUGACAAGCCCUUGCAUCUGCCCCCUCAGGACAUCUACAGAACCAGUGGUAUCGGUACUGUCCCUGCGGGCUGUGUGGAUAUUGGUGUUUUCAAACCUGGCAUGGUGGUCCCCUUUGCUCCAGUCAACGCUACAAAGGAAGUAAGUAUAACUGAAGCAAAACAGUAAACUGUUGAAACGCACCUUAACCCCUGAGCCACCCAGGUACCGUGAAAAUCAGUAAUUU
rnacentral:lncRNA from 1 species